rnacentral:rRNA from 1 species
UCCGUAGGUGAACCUGCGGAAGGAUCAUUAUCGUGCCAAAGGCUGUUGUCCCUCGGGAUGGCUAGUCUUUGUUACCCUUACCCUCUGUCUUUGCGCACCAUGUUUGUUUCCUUGGUAGGCUUGCCUGCCAUUGAAAUCCACCCACAACCUCUUUGCAAUUGCAUUCAACGUCUGAUAAAUUAAUAAUUACAACUUUUAACAAUGGAUCUCUUGGUUCUGGCAUCGAUGAAGAACGCAGCGAAAUGCGAUAAGUAGUGUGAAUUGCAGAAUUCAGUGAAUCAUCGAAUCUUUGAACGCACAUUGCGCCCCUUGGUAUUCCAGGGGCAUGCCUGUUCGAGCGUCAUUUGUACCCUCAAGCUAUGCUUGGUGUUGGGCGUCUGUCUGGCCUUGUGCCUAGACUCGCCUCAAAGUGAUUGGCAGCCCGUGGGAGGUGGAAUAAUGCAGCACAUUUUGCAUUUGACCGUACCUCACUGUGGCGUCCAUAAGCAUUUCUCACUUUUGACCUCGGAUCAGGUAGGGAUACCCGCUGAACUUAAGCAUAUCAAUAAGCGGAGGAUCGACUGCCAAGGGCACACAGGGGGGGGGGAUA